AAACCAACAGGGAUUGCCCCAGUAACGGCGAGUGAAGCGGCAACAGCUCAAAUUUGAAAUCUGGUCCCCAGGGCCCGAGUUGUAAUUUGCAGAGGAUGCUUUUGGUGAGGUGCCUUCCGAGUUCCCUGGAACGGGACGCCAUAGAGGGUGAGAGCCCCGUCUGGUUGGAUACCGAGCCUCUGUAAAGCUCCUUCGACGAGUCGAGUAGUUUGGGAAUGCUGCUCUAAAUGGGAGGUAUAUGUCUUCUAAAGCUAAAUAUUGGCCAGAGACCGAUAGCGCACAAGUAGAGUGAUCGAAAGAUGAAAAGCACUUUGAAAAGAGGGUUAAAUAGUACGUGAAAUUGUUGAAAGGGAAGCACUUAUGACCAGACUUGGCCCCGGUGAAUCAUCCAGCGGUUCCCGUUGGUGCACUUUGCCGGGGUUCAGGCCAGCAUCAGUUCGCUCCGGGGGAUAAAGGCUUUGGGAAUGUGGCUCCCUCGGGAGUGUUAUAGCCCAUUGCGCAAUACCCUGUGGCGGGCUGAGGUUCGCGCUUUAUGCAAGGAUGCUGGCAUAAUGGUCAUCAGUGACCCGUCUUGAAACACGGACCAAGGAGUCGUCUUCGUAUGCGAGUGUUCGGGUGUUAAACCCCUACGCGUAAUGAAAGUGAACGCAGGUGAGAGCCCUCCAGGGCGCAUCAUCGACCGAUCCUGAUGUUCUCGGAUGGAUUUGAGUAAGAGCAUACGGGGCCGGACCCGAAAGAAGGUGAACUAUGCCUGUAUAGGGUGAAGCCAGAGGAAACUCUGGUGGAGGCUCGCAGCGGUUCUGACGUGCAAAUCGAUCGUCAAAUAUGGGCAUGGGGGCGAAAGACUAAUCG
rnacentral:rRNA from 1 species